rnacentral:rRNA from 1 species
UACGAAGGGGGCUAGCGUUGUUCGGAAUCACUGGGCGUAAAGGGCGCGUAGGCGGCUUUGUAAGUCGGGGGUGAAAGCCUGUGGCUCAACCACAGAAUUGCCUUCGAUACUGUAGAGCUUGAGACCGGAAGAGGUUAGUGGAACUGCGAGUGUAGAGGUGAAAUUCGUAGAUAUUCGCAAGAACACCAGUGGCGAAGGCGGCUCACUGGCCCGGUACUGACGCUGAGGUGCGAAAGCGUGGGGAGCAAACAGG